CCAGCUGGUCGGGUGAUUGCUGCUAUAAGAGCCGAAAGGCUGUAGCGGAGGAAAGUCCGGGCUCCAUGGAAAUACGAUGCCGGAUAACAUCCGGCUGGGGAAACGGGUUCGCUCGCCAACCCAAGGGAAAGUGCAACAGAAAAUAUACCGCCGUAUUUAUACGGUAAGGGUGAAAAGGUGRGGUAAGAGCUCACCGCGCAAGCAGCAAUGUUUGUGGCAUGGUAAACCCCAUCGGGAGCAAAACCGAAUAGGAAUAACGUGCUGGAAGYAAUUUCAGUGAGCCCAUUUUCAGGCUAGUUGUUCGGGUGGGUUGCGCUGAGGUGUUUGGUAACAAAUAUCCCAGAUGAAUGAUCACCGCGUUUUGAACUAAUCCUUUUGGGUUGAUUYAAAGCCUUACAAAACCCGGCUUAUAGACCGGCUGGCAUU
rnacentral:RNase_P_RNA from 1 species